rnacentral:lncRNA from 1 species
UGUACCUAUUUAACUUUGCAUUCGCCGCCGCCGCUCAUUUCCUCUUAUUUUGAUAGUGGCGCAGGAAGUGUUAUUCCGCUUUUAUUAUCUGCCGAGCCAGCUGCUGCGCUCACGAUGUUGCGGGUUGUGCUAGGUGCAGGGAACGCGCUGGUUCUCUCGCUGCUGAUGGCAGAUUGAUUGUUUGUAGCCAGCGUCGACAGCCCACAUGGGAGUUAUGGAUGGAUUGUGCCUUUCCAUGAUAGCUACAGGUUUGUACACAUGCAAAACAAAUUUAACAGUUUAAUUAAUUAUUAAAAUUAAUUAACAAUUAUUGAAUGAGACAAUCAACAGAACAUCAGUAAUCCUUCAUUUCAGGGGAAGCCAACUCCACUUUUGCAUCUAUGAAGAACGUGUCAACGCUGAUGUCCUUCAUUCAGCACAGUCGCUCCUAAAACUCCAAAGACCAAGUUCAUUGUGAGUAAAAUUAUUUUUCUGUAUCGGAGAGAAACAGGUGAAUGUGUGUGUCAGUCUAUUCAUGACCUGAGUGAAAGAGAUAUAAAAAUCUAUUAAAAUUAAUGUCAUGUGGCG